rnacentral:rRNA from 1 species
AUUGAACGCUGGCGGCAUGCUUUACACAUGCAAGUCGAACGGCAGCGCGGGCUUCGGCCUGGCGGCGAGUGGCGAACGGGUGAGUAAUACAUCGGAACGUGCCCAGUAGUGGGGGAUAGCUCGGCGAAAGCCGGAUUAAUACCGCAUACGACCUGAGGGUGAAAGCGGGGGAUCUUCGGACCUCGCGCUCUUGGAGCGGCCGAUGGCAGAUUAGAUAGUUGGUGGGGUAAAGGCCUACCAAGGCGACGAUCUGUAGCUGGUCUGAGAGGACGACCAGCCACACUGGGACGGAGACACGGCCCAGACUCCUACGGGAGGCAGCAGUGGGGAAUUUUGGACAAUGGGCGAAAGCCUGAUCCAGCAAUGCCGCGUGUGUGAUGAAGGCCUUCGGGUUGUAAAGCACUUUUGGCGGGAACGAAAAGGACUGUGCCAAUACCACGGUUCGAUGACGGUACCCGCAGAAUAAGCACCGGCUAACUACGUG